CUACGGGUGGCUGCAGUGGGGAAUAUUGGACAAUGGGCGAAAGCCUGAUCCAGCCAUGCCGCGUGUGUGAAGAAGGCCUUCGGGUUGUAAAGCACUUUCAGUGGGGAAGAAAGCCUUGGGGCUAAUACCCUCGAGGAAGGACAUCACCCACAGAAGAAGCACCGGCUAACUCCGUGCCAGCAGCCGCGGUAAUACGGAGGGUGCGAGCGUUAAUCGGAAUUACUGGGCGUAAAGCGCGCGUAGGCGGUCUGAUAAGCCGGUUGUGAAAGCCCCGGGCUCAACCUGGGAACGGCAUCCGGAACUGUCAGGCUAGAGUGCAGGAGAGGAAGGUAGAAUUCCCGGUGUAGCGGUGAAAUGCGUAGAGAUCGGGAGGAAUACCAGUGGCGAAGGCGGCCUUCUGGACUGACACUGACGCUGAGGUGCGAAAGCGUGGGUAGCAAACAGGAUUAGAUACCCCGGUAGUC
rnacentral:rRNA from 1 species